UACGUAGGGCGCAAGCGUUGUCCGGAAUUAUUGGGCGUAAAGAGCUCGUAGGCGGCUUGUCACGUCGGGUGUGAAAGCCCCGGGCUCAACCUGGGAAUUGCAUUCGAGACUGCUCUGCUAGGGUGCGGAAGAGGGAAGCGGAAUUUCCGGUGUAGCGGUGAAAUGCGUAGAUAUCGGAAGGAACACCAGUGGCGAAAGCGGCUUCCUGGUCCAGCACCGACGUUCAGGCACGAAAGCGUGGGGAGCAAACAGG
rnacentral:rRNA from 1 species